UCUUCUGAAUGCCUUAUAUUUGUAUUUUUGUUGAGUUAACCACGUUUAUGCUUGAAAAUGAUUAAUUUAGGCACCUUGUAGACUUGAAAUAACACACCAAUGCAGUUAUUAAUCUUUGUUUACACUACAUUGCUAGGCUAUUGGAUCACUGCCGGGACAAAAGACGACUUAGCUGCAACCAUUAGCAUGUUAACUAGUUAGCCUCCAAUUUAUGUACUGUAUUCUAAAGUUAAGAAAUGGUUGAAAAUGGAGUGGGGAAGAAAGACAAACAAGCCAAAGACUUACCACUUCCACACAGAGUGGGAGGAGAACUUCUUUUCAGACAUGCCAUGGAGUGUGACAGUAAUCUAAUGUCAUGUCUCGAAAGUGGAACAUUACUGACACCUAGAGGACGGAAUGUGUUGAUUUUGUGAUUUUUGUGUUUGUUUAGGCUGCUGGAGAUCAAGAACAGGACCAGUCAAAUCAGAGUGGACAUUGAACAAUUGGAACAGGAGUCUGGCAAGCUCAAGGUGCUGUUCACAUCGUGAGAUGUUCAAGCACAACUACGAGUGGCUCUCUGCUCCUCUGUGUUGAGGACUUGAUGGAGAACUGUAGCUCUCUGAUGAGGUUUCACCAAACGUGUCCAGACCAGAACCCUCAACUGCAACCAAACCUGUAUAUUGUCUGUACUUAGAUAACGCGUCACACUCACGUCCAGCUCCUGAGCUAACGGUGCGGAAGUGACAAAGUGUGUCCGACAAUGAGUGCUCCUCCUCGGGCAGGCGAGUUGAAGGCAGCUCCUGAGCUCCGCACCAGUGGAGGCUACGUUACCAUUCAUACACGGUAAGUCUUCAACCGGUAGCUCAUGAGCCACCAGUAGCUCCUAACCACUAUUAAGUAAAUGGUUUAUUCAUCAACUCCAAUACCGACAAAAUUAGAAACAAAAUUGGAGCGCUGGAGAGUGUGACCAAUCAAAGCGAAGCGGAGGUUGGCCGUGGGUGGA